UACGGGAGGAUCCAAGCGUUAUCCGGAAUCAUUGGGUUUAAAGGGUCCGUAGGCGGUUUGGUAAGUCAGUGGUGAAAGCCCAUCGCUCAACGGUGGAACGGCCAUUGAUACUGCCAGACUUGAAUUAUUAGGAAGUAACUAGAAUAUGUAGUGUAGCGGUGAAAUGCUUAGAGAUUACAUGGAAUACCAAUUGCGAAGGCAGGUUACUACUAAUGGAUUGACGCUGAUGGACGAAAGCGUGGGUAGCGAACAGG
rnacentral:rRNA from 1 species